rnacentral:tRNA from 2 species
GUCCCCAUCGAUUAACAGGAUAAAUCCCGCGCCUCCUAAGCGCGAGCUCCAGGUUCGAGUCCUGGUGGGGACGCCA